GAAGGUAUAGCUCAGUGGUAGAGUGGGUGCUUAACAUGUACGAGGUCCUGGGUUCAAUCCCCAGUACCUCCA
rnacentral:tRNA from 1 species